GCGGAGCUGUGUAUCACGAAGAACCGGAGAACGGUUGGCGAGUCUGGAUGAGAGGACGGCGGCGGAGUCACUGUGGACGUUGUUCGCUCAGCAGGUUAGAGUGUGGGACUCAAAGCUUUUUUCCCCCGUCCGUCGUGUCUUUUCCUGUGUGAACUCUGCCGCUCUCAACAGCAGCACUGGCUAUGAGCUAGCUCCUGCUACCUCCAACGAAGCAUCUCUCAACUGCUACGUAAGUUAAACGGACACUUCUGACUGACUGUGAUGAUAAGCAAAAGAGACACUGUGGAUGUGUGAUGUGUUGUACUGCAUUUGUUUGAUCUGUUUACUAAUACUAGCUCUAAUAAAUACUGUAUAAAUUAUAUUUUGCUCCUGAAUUGAACUGUGUUAAAGGGGUUCACAUGGAAAAUAUAUGUUCAAUUAUGUAAAGGGUGAUUUUUGUUACUAUUAUACUAAUGGAGAUUUAGCACUUGCUACACAUUGUAAGAGCAGCUGUUCAAAGGAGCACUACGUCUUUUAAGGCUCUUUAUUCAGAGUCACGGUGUUGAUGUCCUGUCACGUGUUACAGUGAAAAAUAACCGUGUCUCCCACCUUCAGUAUUUAAAUCGUUAAUCUCAGACAGACUUCACUGAAUUCUUUUGUUAAAUAUGAGUAAGUCAUAGCCUUGUAACUUUACUAGAACAGACAGUGUCAUACAGAGUUGUGGGUUUAUAUGCACUACCUAUUUCCUAAUCUGAAAUGAUUAUGCUCUGAUUAACUUUGAACUAAUAUUUUAUUUUUACCAUUUAAAAGUCUGUUAAUUACUUAACCUGGCCCAUGUAUGACUUUACAUAUCUGUGUAUUGGUUUCAUGUUCCUCUAGAAGGUCCAACUUGACACACAACUUGAAUCCAACCAGACUGAACACUGACUCCAGGGACAGACGAGCCUGAAGGACACAGCUGUGAUGACCAUGUUCUGUCUCUUAUGGCAAAGCAGAAAUAUAAAACACUGGGUUCUUAUCUAAAGUGUAUCAAAUCAGAUCUCCACCAUGUUGCUGCUGAGGACAUCAGUUGUCUUCCAGUUGACCAGCAUGAAGCUGCAGAUCUCCACCAUGUUGCUGCUGGGGACAUCAGGAGCUGCAUUAAUGAGGAGCAGAAGCGUACUGUUAUGAAUGUUUUGUGUUGUUUAUGAAGCACUACUUAUUUCAGCUAGAACCGAUGUACUAGGGUCUGGGUUUGUAUCCUAAUGGUUAAAUGCACAUACUUUAAAUCGCUUUUGAUAAAACGUGACAAAGAAAUACAACAUUGUACACAUAGAUAAAAUGUCUUUCUACCUCAUCUGUAAUAUUCAAGGUGAUGAUCUCCCACAGAGCUGUUGAUAACAGUCCACAUCAAGUCUCUCCACUUCCCUCAGUGUGAAAACAUAAUUAUAUAAUUAAUUGGAGAAGUGUUUACAACACUGAUGUGUGGACAUUAUAAUCUUAUCACUACUGUCUAAUUCACUCUACAACUCCAUGACAGACUAAAUAAACGAUGUGAAAAUAGUAAUGGCGGAUAUACCAUCCUGUAUCAGAAUAUUGGUGAAACAGUUACUAUCACAUGAAACGUACACGUGUAGCGUAUUGAUAGUAACUCAUUAAAAAAAAUAAUGUCACAACCAA